rnacentral:lncRNA from 1 species
AAUAAUGUAGGCAACAACACAAGUUAGAGGUCUUGAUUAGUGAAUCAAACUCCAACAACUUACCAUGCCAAAAAGAAAAUGAGAAAUGAUCUUGUAUUGAUUUAGGUUCUUUGCGUGAUUUAGGAAGCAACCUAUCCUUAAUGCAAAGCCAUUCACUUGAUCUAUGAUCAAGAUGAAUUAGAUUUGAAUCAAGGAAGAUUAAAC